rnacentral:rRNA from 1 species
AUGCAAGUCGAACGGCAGCACGGGAGCAAUCCUGGUGGCGAGUGGCGAACGGGUGAGUAAUACAUCGGAACGUGCCCAAUCGUGGGGGAUAACGCAGCGAAAGCUGUGCUAAUACCGCAUAAGAUCUACGGAUGAAAGCAGGGGACCGCAAGGCCUUGCGCGAAUGGAGCGGCCGAUGGCAGAUUAGGUAGUUGGUGGGGUAAAGGCUCACCAAGCCUUCGAUCUGUAGCUGGUCUGAGAGGACGACCAGCCACACUGGGACUGAGACACGGCCCAGACUCCUACGGGAGGCAGCAGUGGGGAAUUUUGGACAAUGGGCGCAAGCCUGAUCCAGCCAUGCCGCGUGCAGGAUGAAGGCCUUCGGGUUGUAAACUGCUUUUGUACGGAACGAAAAGGUUCUUUCUAAUAAAGAGAGCUCAUGACGGUACCGUAAGAAUAAGCACCGGCUAACUACGUGCCAGCAGCCGCGGUAAUACGUAGGGUGCAAGCGUUAAUCGGAAUUACUGGGCGUAAAGCGUGCGCAGGCGGUGAUGUAAGACAGUUGUGAAAUCCCCGGGCUCAACCUGGGAACUGCAUCUGUGACUGCAUCGCUGGAGUACGGUAGAGGGGGAUGGAAUUUCCGCGUGUAGCAGUGAAAAUGCGUAGAUAUGCGGAGGAACACCGAUGGCGAAGGGCAAUCCCCUGGACCUGUACUGAACGCUCAUGCACGAAAGCGUGGGGAGCAAACAGGAUUAGAUACCCUGGUAGUCCACGCCCUAAACGAUGUCAACUGGUUGUUGGGUCUUCACUGACUCAGUAACGAAGCUAACGCGUGAAGUUGACCGCCUGGGGAGUACGGCCGCAAGGUUGAAACUCAAAGGGAAUUUGACGGGGACCCGCACAAGCGGUGGAUGAUGUGGUUUAAUUCGAUGCAACGCGAAAAACCUUACCCACCUUUGACAUGUACGGAAUUUGCCAGAGAUGGCUUAGUGCUCGAAAGAGAACCGUAACACAGGUGCUGCAUGGCUGUCGUCAGCUCGUGUCGUGAGAUGUUGGGUUAAGUCCCGCAACGAGCGCAACCCUUGUCAUUAGUUGCUACAUUUAGUUGGGCACUCUAGUGAGACUGCCGGUGACAAACCGGAGGAAGGUGGGGAUGACGUCAAGUCCUCAUGGCCCUUAUAGGUGGGGCUACACACGUCAUACAAUGGCUGGUACAAAGGGUUGCCAACCCGCGAGGGGGAGCUAAUCCCAUAAAACCAGUCGUAGUCCGGAUCGCAGUCUGCAACUCGACUGCGUGAAGUCGGAAUCGCUAGUAAUCGUGGAUCAGAAUGUCACGGUGAAUACGUUCCCGGGUCUUGUACACACCGCCCGUCACACCAUGGGAGCGGGUUCUGCCAGAAGUAGUUAGCCUAACCGCAAGGAGGGCGAUACC